GUGAAAUUCCGUCGGAAUCCGGGAGGACCAUCUCCCAAGGCUAAAUACUCCCUAGUGACCGAUAGUGAACCAGUACCGUGAGGGAAAGGUGAAAAGCACCCCGGAAGGGGAGUGAAACAGUUCCUGAAACCGUGUGCCUACAAGUAGUUAGAGCCCGUUAAUGGGUGAUAGCGUGCCUUUUGUAGAAUGAACCGGCGAGUUACGAUUUGUUGCAAGGUUAAGCGGAAAAAGCGGAGCCGUAGCGAAAGCGAGUCUGAAUAGGGCGCAUAAGUAACAGGUCGUAGACCCGAAACCAGGUGAUCUACCCAUGUCCAGGAUGAAGGUAAGGUAAUACUUACUGGAGGUCCGAACCCACGCACGUUGAAAAGUGCGGGGAUGAGGUGUGGGUAGCGGAGAAAUUCCAAUCGAACUUGGAGAUAGCUGGUUCUCUCCGAAAUAGCUUUAGGGCUAGCCUCGAGGUAAAGAGUCAUGGAGGUAGAGCACUGUUUGGACUAGGGGCCCUUCUCGGGUUACCGAAUUCAGAUAAACUCCGAAUGCCAUGUACUUAUACUCGGGAGUCAGACUGCGAGUGAUAAGAUCCGUAGUCGAAAGGGAAACAGCCCAGACCACCAGUUAAGGUCCCCAAAUAUAUGUUAAGUGGAAAAGGAUGUGGGGUUGCUUAGACAACCAGGAUGUUGGCUUAGAAGCAGCCACCAUUGAAAGAGUGCGUAAUAGCUCACUGGUCGAGUGACCCCGCGCCGAAAAUGUACCGGGGCUAAACAUAUUACCGAAACUGUGGAUGAACCUCUUUAGAGGUUCGUGGUAGGAGAGCGUUCUAAGGGCGGUGAAGUCAGACCGGAAGGACUGGUGGAGCGCUUAGAAGUGAGAAUGCCGGUAUGAGUAGCGAAAGAAGGGUGAGAAUCCCUUCCACCGAAUAUCUAAGGUUUCCUGAGGAAGGCUCGUCCGCUCAGGGUUAGUCGGGACCUAAGCCGAGGCCGAUAGGCGUAGGCGAUGGACAACAGGUAGAGAUUCCUGUACCAGUGCUAAUUGUUUAACCGAUGGGGUGACACAGAAGGAUAGGGAAUCGCACGAAUGGAAAUGUGCGUCCAAGCAGUGAGUGUGAGAAGUAGGCAAAUCCGCUUCUCGCGAAGCAUGAGCUGUGAUGGGGAAGGAAAUUAAGUACGGAAGUUCCUGA
rnacentral:rRNA from 1 species